GACGAACGCUGGCGGCGUGCCUAAUACAUGCAAGUAGGACGCAGUUGCGAACGGGUGAGUAACGCGUCGGUAACUGCCUAUUAGAGGGGGAUAACUAUUGGAAACGAUAGCUAAUACCGCAUACUAGUAGAUGGACCUGCGUUGUAUUAGCUAGUAGGUAGGGUAAUGGCCUACCUAGGCGACGAUACAUAGCCGACCGUGAAGGGGGAGCGGCCACACUGGUACCGAGAAACGGCUCAGACUCCUACGGGAGGCAGCCGUAGGGAAGCUUCGGCAAUGGGGGGAACGCUGACCGAGCCACGCCGCGGGAGUGAAGAAGGGCUUCGGAUCGUAAAGCUCUGUUAAUCAGGAAGCGGUACCUAACCAGAAAGGGACGGCUAACUACGUGCCAGCCGCCGCGGUAAUUC
rnacentral:rRNA from 1 species